AGUGAACGCUGGCGGUAGGCCUAACACAUGCAAGUCGAACGGCAGCACAGUAAGAGCUUGCUCUUACGGGUGGCGAGUGGCGGACGGGUGAGGAAUACAUCGGACUCUACUUUUUCGUGGGGGAUAACGUAGGGAAACUUACGCUAAUACCGCAUACGACCUACGGGUGAAAGCAGGGGAUCUUCGGACCUUGCGCGAUUGAAUGAGCCGAUGUCGGAUUAGCUAGUUGGCGGGGUAAAGGCCCACCAAGGCGACGAUCCGUAGCUGGUCUGAGAGGAUGAUCAGCGACACUGGAACUGAGACACGGUCCAGACUCCUACGGGAGGCAGCAGUGGGGAAUAUUGGACAAUGGGCGCAAGCCUGAUCCAGCCAUACCGCGUGGGUGAAGAAGGCCUUCGGGUUGUAAAGCCCUUUUGUUGGGAAAGAAAAGCAGCAGGUUAAUACCCCGCUGUUCUGACGGUACCCAAAGAAUAAGCACCGGCUAACUUCGUG
rnacentral:rRNA from 1 species